GAGUGAGAGAGAGAGAGACACAGACAGAGAGAGAGAGAGAGAGAGAGACACAGACAGAGAGAGAGAGAGAGAGAGAGAGAGACAGAGAGAGAGAGAGAGAGAGAGAGAGAGACACAGACAGAGAGAGAGAGAGAGAGAGAGAGAGACACAGACAGAAGAGAGUGAGAGAGAGAGAGACACAGACAGAGAGAGAGAGUGAGAGAGAGAGAGACACAGACAGAGAGAGAGAGUGAGAGAGAGAGAGACACAGACAGAGAGAGAGAGUGAGAGAGAGAGAGACAGACAGAGAGAGUGAAUGAGUGAGCUUAACUGGAAAGCUUUAACGUACAAUAUACCCAAGUGCAGGUUGCCAUGGUAUCACCCUAGCAACAACCAAAAUGGAAUGUUCUCUUCUAACAGUAAAAUCUUCAAGACCUCAAUUUUUAUUCAGCGUAUUCCAGAAUAAACGCAGGGGCCGGAUGGUAAAACAUUAAAACCCACACGGCGAAAGAGUUGAAGGCUUACACUGAUCAGUCUUAAAGCAGAUACCUCAGCAAUUCCAUAAUAAUAAACACACACACACACACACACACACACACACACACGUCAUACUAUAACGCAAAGGCUAACAUUUGCAUUAAAAGGUCGGUCAAUUAAACUUAAAGGAAACAGAUCGAAUGAUAUCUUAUGGAGGCUGUUUUGGAAAUGUAGUCAUAAUCAUAGAUAAAUCAGAAACCAUGGCAGGGUCCUGAAAAUCGGUGGCAGCAUAUCGGAGGUCCUGCAGCUUCACUCGUCAUACUGGGUACUUUAUUACAUUCCUGGGAGUUUAAUGAGGAAAGAGAGAGAGCAGAG
ensembl:lncRNA